rnacentral:rRNA from 1 species
AGCGCAGGUGGUUUAUUAAGUCUGGUGUAAAAGGCAGUGGCUCAACCAUUGUAUGCAUUGGAAACUGGUAGACUUGAGUGCAGGAGAGGAGAGUGGAAUUCCAUGUGUAGCGGUGAAAUGCGUAGAUAUAUGGAGGAACACCGGUGGCGAAAGCGGCUCUCUGGCCUGUAACUGACACUGAGGCUCGAAAGGCGUGGGGAGCGAACA